rnacentral:rRNA from 1 species
AAGCACUUUGGAAAGAUUCUUCGGAUGAUUUCCUUUGUGACUGAGCGGCGGACGGGUGAGUAACGCGUGGGUAACCUGCCUCAUACAGGGGGAUAACAGUUAGAAAUGACUGCUAAUACCGCAUAAGACCACGGUACCGCAUGGUACAGUGGUAAAAACUCCGGUGGUAUGAGAUGGACCCGCGUCUGAUUAGUUAGUUGGUGGGGUAACGGCCUACCAAGGCGACGAUCAGUAGCCGACCUGAGAGGUUAACCCCCACACUGGUACUGAGACACGGACCAGACUCC